AUGCAGCAACGCCGCGUUGCCCGAGGACGGCCUUCGGGUUGUAAAGGGCUUUUCUGGCUGACGAGGAAGGACGGUAGGCCAGGAAUAAGCGUCGGCUAACUACGUGCCAGCAGCCGCGGUAAAACGUAGGUGGCAAGCGUUGUCCGGAAUUAUUGGGCGUAAAGAGCUCGUAGGCGGUUUGUCGCGUCUGCUGUGAAAACCCGAGGCUCAACCUCGGGCCUGCAGUGGGUACGGGCAGACUAGAGUGUGGUAGGGGAGACUGGAAUUCCUGGUGUAGCGGUGGAAUGCGCAGAUAUCAGGAGGAACACCGGUGGCGAAGGCGGGUCUCUGGGCCGAUACUGACGCUNANGAGCGAAAGCGUGGGGAGCGAACAGGAUUAGAUACCCUGGUAGUCCACGCCGUAAACGUUGGGCGCUAGGUGUGGGUGACAUUCCACGUUGUCCGUGCCGUANCUAACGCAUUAAGCGCCCCGCCUGGGGAGUACGGCCGCAAGGCUA
rnacentral:rRNA from 1 species